rnacentral:rRNA from 1 species
CUGUGAGGGCUGCUGGAGGUAUCAGAAGUGCGAAUGCUGACAUAAGUAACGAUAAAGCGGGUGAAAAGCCCGCUCGCCGGAAGACCAAGGGUUCCUGUCCAACGUUAAUCGGGGCAGGGUGAGUCGACCCCUAAGGCGAGGCCGAAAGGCGUAGUCGAUGGGAAACAGGUUAAUAUUCCUGUACUUGGUGUUACUGCGAAGGGGGGACGGAGAAGGCUAUGUUAGCCGGGCGACGGUUGUCCCGGUUUAAGCAUGUAGGCGGAGGUUCCAGGUAAAUCCGGUACCUUUUAACGCUGAGGUGUGAUGACGAGGCACUACGGUGCUGAAGUAACAAAUGCCCUGCUUCCAGGAAAAGCCUCUAAGCAUCAGGUAACACGAAAUCGUACCCCAAACCGACACAGGUGGUCAGGUAGAGAAUACCAAGGCGCUUGAGAGAACUCGGGUGAAGGAACUAGGCAAAAUGGUGCCGUAACUUCGGGAGAAGGCACGCUGAUAUGUAGGUGAAGCCCCUGCGGGUGGAGCUGAAAUCAGUCGAAGAUACCAGCUGGCUGCAACUGUUUAUUAAAAACACAGCACUGUGCAAACACGAAAGUGGACGUAUACGGUGUGACGCCUGCCCGGUGCCGGAAGGUUAAUUGAUGGGGUUAGCGGCAACGCGAAGCUCUUGAUCGAAGCCCCGGUAAACGGCGGCCGUAACUAUAACGGUCCUAAGGUAGCGAAAUUCCUUGUCGGGUAAGUUCCGACCUGCACGAAUGGCGUAAUGAUGGCCAGGCUGUCUCCACCCGAGACUCAGUGAAAUUGAACUCGCUGUGAAGAUGCAGUGUACCCGCGGCAAGACGGAAAGACCCCGUGAACCUUUACUAUAGCUUGACACUGAACACUGGUCCUUGAUGUGUAGGAUAGGUGGGAGGCUUUGAAGCGUGGACGCCAGUCUGCGUGGAGCCAUCCUUGAAAUACCACCCUUUAAUGGCUGGUGUUCUAACGUAGACCCGUAAUCCGGGUUGCGGACAGUGUCUGGUGGGUAGUUUGACUGGGGCGGUCUCCUCCCAAAGAGUAACGGAGGAGCACGAAGGUUAGCUAAUCCUGGUCGGACAUCAGGAGGUUAGUGCAAUGGCAUAAGCUAGCUUGACUGCGAGAGUGACGGCUCGAGCAGGUGCGAAAGCAGGUCAUAGUGAUCCGGUGGUUCUGAAUGGAAGGGCCAUCGCUCAACGGAUAAAAGGUACUCCGGGGAUAACAGGCUGAUACCGCCCAAGAGUUCAUAUCGACGGCGGUGUUUGGCACCUCGAUGUCGGCUCAUCACAUCCUGGGGCUGAAGUAGGUCCCAAGGGUAUGGCUGUUCGCCAUUUAAAGUGGUACGCGAGCUGGGUUUAGAACGUCGUGAGACAGUUCGGUCCCUAUCUGCCGUGGGCGCUGGAGAAUUGAGGGGGGCUGCUCCUAGUACGAGAGGACCGGAGUGGACGCAUCACUGGUGUUCGGGUUGUCAUGCCAAUGGCACUGCCCGGUAGCUAAAUGCGGAAGAGAUAAGUGCUGAAAGCAUCUAAGCACGAAACUUGCCCCGAGAUGAGUUCUCCCUGAGACUUAAAGUCUCCUGAAGGAACGUU